AGCGAACGCCGGCGGCAGGCCUAACACAUGCAAGUCGAGCGGAUGAAGAGAGCUUGCUCUCUGAUUUAGCGGCGGACGGGUGAGUAAUGCCUAGGAAUCUGCCUGGUAGUGGGGGAUAACGUUCCGAAAGGAACGCUAAUACCGCAUACGUCCUACGGGAGAAAGCAGGGGACCUUCGGGCCUUGCGCUAUCAGAUGAGCCUAGGUCGGAUUAGCUAGUUGGUGAGGUAAUGGCUCACCAAGGCUACGAUCCGUAACUGGUCUGAGAGGAUGAUCAGUCACACUGGAACUGAGACACGGUCCAGACUCCUACGGGAGGCAGCAGUGGGGAAUAUUGGACAAUGGGCGAAAGCCUGAUCCAGCCAUGCCGCGUGUGUGAAGAAGGUCUUCGGAUUGUAAAGCACUUUAAGUUGGGAGGAAGGGCAGUAAGUUAAUACCUUGCUGUUUUGACGUUACCGACAGAAUAAGCACCGGCUAACUUCGUGCCAGCCGCCGCGGUAAAAC
rnacentral:rRNA from 1 species